rnacentral:rRNA from 1 species
UGGGGAAUCUUGCACAAUGGGGGAAACCCUGAUGCAGCGACGCCGCGUGAGCGAUGAAGGUUUUCGAAUCGUAAAGCUCUGUCCUAUGGGAAGAUAAUGACGGUACCAUGGGAGGAAGCCCCGGCUAACUACGUGCCAGCAGCCGCGGUAAUACGUAGGGGGCGAGCGUUGUCCGGAAUUACUGGGCGUAAAGGGUUCGCAGGCGGCAUGGCAAGUCCGAUGUAAAAGGCGAAGGCUCAACCUUCGUAAGCAUCGGAAACUGUCAAGCUUGAGUGAAGGAGAGGCAAGUGGAAUUCCUAGUGUAGCGGUGGAAUGCGUAGAUAUUAGGAGGAAUACCGGUGGCGAAGGCGACUUGCUGGACGUCAACUGACGCUGAGGAACGAAAGCGUGGGUAGCAAACAGG